AUUGAACGCUAGCGGCAUGCCUAACACAUGCAAGUCGAACGGGACAGCGCGGAGAGAACUUGUUUUUCUCUAGCGAGUUGAGUGGCGAACGGGUGAGUAAUGCGUAGGAAUCUACCUUUUAGAGGGGGGAUAACCCGAGGAAACUCGGGCUAAUACCGCGUAGUAUCUCUUUUCAUAGAAAAGUUGAAGAAAGCGGGGGGAUCCUUGAGUUUUUUUAAGGACCUCGCGCUAAAAGAUGAGCCUGCGUCGGAUUAGUUAGUUGGUGGGGUAAUAGCCCACCAAGACGAUGAUCCGGUAGCUGGUCUGAGAGGAUGAUCAGCCACACGUGGGACUGAGACACGGCCCAGACUCCUACGGGGAGGCAGCAGU
rnacentral:rRNA from 1 species